rnacentral:rRNA from 1 species
CUACGGAGGGUGCAAGCGUUGUUCGGAAUCACUGGGCGUAAAGGGUCCGUAGGCGGUCUGCUUAGUCUGAUGUGAAAGCCCCGGGCUUAACCUGGGAAUGGCAUUGGAUACUGGCGGACUAGAGUCUGGUAGAGGGUGGUGGAAUUCCCGGUGUAGCGGUGAAAUGCGUAGAUAUCCGGAGGAACACCAGUGGCGAAGGCGGCCACCUGGACCAAGACUGACGCUGAGGGACGAAAGCGUGGGGAGCAAACAGGAUUAGAAACCCUAGUAGUCC